AAACUGGGAUUAGAUACCCCACUAUGCUUGGCCCUAAACCUAGAUAUUUAACGCACAAAAAUAUCCGCCAGAGAACUACGAGCAAAACGCUUAAAACUCUAAGGACUUGGCGGUACCUCAAACCCCCCUAGAGGAGCCUGUUCUAUAAUCGAUAAUCCACGAUCCACCUCACCAUCUCUUGCCAACCCCGCCUAUAUACCACCGUCACCAGCCUACCCCAUGAGGGCCAUAAAAGUAGGCAAAAUAACUAAAAACAGUUAACAAGUCAGGUCAAGGUGUAGCUCAUUGAGAUGGAAGAAAUGGGCUACAUUUUCUAUACUAGAAAUUAAUUCACGGAAAGGAACUAUGAAAUAAGUCCCACAAGCAGGAUUUAGCAGUAAGCUGGGAUUAGAGCGCCCAACUUAAGUCGGUCCUGAGGUGCGCACACACCGCCCGUCACCCUC
rnacentral:rRNA from 1 species